rnacentral:tRNA from 1 species
UUCGUUGUAGCUCAGUGGCAGAGCGUCCGGUCGAUACCGGGAAGGUCGUGGGUUCAAUUCUCAUCAGCGAUA